rnacentral:rRNA from 1 species
UACGACGGUCCCGAGCGUUGUUCGGAAUCACUGGGCGUAAAGGGAGCGUAGGCGGCGCGGUAAGUCAGAUGUGAAAUCCCGGGGCUCAACCCCGGAACUGCAUCCGGUACUGCCGUGCUAGAGUGAUGGAGAGGUAGCUGGAAUUCACGGUGUAGCAGUGAAAUGCGUAGAUAUCGUGAGGAACACUCGUGGCGAAAGCGAGCUACUGGACAUUUACGGACGCUGAGGCUCGAAGGCGAGGGUAGCGAACGGG